rnacentral:misc_RNA from 1 species
UUGAUUGUUUAAUCAUUUAUACUCGAACCGUUAGGAAAGAGUUUUGUAUACUUUUGAAGAACACGCCCGCUUCGACGCUUCCCAUUUAAGGUUUGUUCACAAUAGCAACAGUCAUUUAGACAAAGGGUGGGAGGUAGAUCUUGCGAUCCGACACUCGGUAAUGAUCCUUCCGCAGGUUCACCUACGGAAA